CCUACGGGUGGCAGCAGUAGGGAAUAUUGCUCAAUGGGGGAAACUCUGAAGCAGCAACGCCGCGUGGAGGAUGAAGGUUUUAGGAUUGUAAACUCCUUUUGUUAGAGAAGUUUAUGACGGUAUCUAACGAAUAAGCACCGGCUAACUCCGUGCCAGCAGCCGCGGUAAUACGGCGGGUGCAAGCGUUAUUCGGAAUCACUGGGCGUAAGGGGUGCGUAGGCGGGGUAAUAAGUCUGUUGUGAAAUCCUGUAGCUUAAUUACAGAACUGCAUUGGAAACGGUUACGCUGGAGUGUGGGAGAGGUAGGUGGAAUUCGUGGUGUAGGGGUAAAAUGCGUAGAGAUCAAGAGGAAUACUCAUUGCGAAGGCGACCUGCUGUAACAUUACUGACGCUGAGGCACGAAGGCGUGGGGAGCAAACAGGAUUAGAUACCCUAGUAGUC
rnacentral:rRNA from 1 species